rnacentral:lncRNA from 1 species
UGAUUAUUUGGUCCAGCACAUUAAUUUGCAUGAGCAAGAGUAAGGAUCAAGAUCACAUAAACAAUCAAAAUAUGGUGUUUCAAGCGGUGAACUUCUCAAGAAUGCUUUGCGACAGUCAUCUGAACCCCCACAAACAUGGUCAAGUUUCAUGUGUUUGCGACAAUAGCGUGGCGGGGGGUCACCUAUAUUUGAACCAUGUAACCAAAAUUAAACAAUUUCAGCAAAUAUAUAUUGGUAAAAUAUAAAUUAUUUGCUUUUUUGAUAGGAUUUGUACUGGCCAAAAUAAAAACCUAAUUUUUUUUUUCAAAUCAAUUUAGUCAAAUUCGACUUCUGUGCUUUGUAGAAAGUAUAGUGGAAUAUCAAUCAAAUUGAAUUGAUUGGUUUAAAGGCCUAAAUUUCGAGGAUCAGAUGACAAAGUGAAAAUUGAACUUAGAAAUCUUGUAUUACAUCCUGAUACACAUACCUUGACUGGAAGGAGUUGAUGGGGUGAAGAGACUUUGGAAAAUCAAGAGAGAAAAGAUGACAAGGUAUGUAGAGUUCUUCAUAGUCAUUGCUUUUCUUGUAAUAUUACUUUGGCAAGAA